rnacentral:lncRNA from 1 species
GAAAAAGGAAAUGUAAGAACUAAUUUUCUGAUUUUCAAUAGAUAUCAUCCAACGAGUAAUUUCUUGUUUUUGACCUAUAUAAAUCUUACUAUGGUCUUAAAGUGCAAUUUGAAACCUUAUUAAGUUUCUUGGCAAAUUCAUCAGAAAAGGUGCAAUGACAACAGAACGAUCAAGCUCAAACAUCCUCCUUUCCAUUCUUGUACUUGCUUUAGUCCUCUCUCCCAUCCUUCCAUGUCAAGCAACACGAGCACAUCUAGAUGGUAAGCUAGUCUUAUGGAAUAAGAAAUGCCUCGAGUUUUACCUUAGGUUAAUCUUUUUCUUUAUUUUCUCAUGUGCAGCUGAAAGGCGUAUGCUGAGGCGCAUAUGUCCUUCGUGUGUGUGUUGUGCACCAGCUCCACGAGGUUCUUGCUGCCCAUGUCGAUGCCCCAAAAAGCCUUAAAAAUGUUUCAACUUUGAUUUCGUCUAACAGAUUAUCAUGUGUUUAAUGUAUCGUAUUAACAUGUGAAUAAAGCAAUCAAAAGAUUAGGUUUCAUAUAUAUGACUCUUGUCACUCAGGCCAUUCUAACUUUUGAUUAUGAUAUGAUAUCCUCUGUUUCGGAUACAGAACUACAUGUCAUACAUGUUUUGGCUUAUAGCUUAAAUUGGAAUCAUUAUUAAAAUGGGAUUGGUCAAAGUUUGAGGCACCUUUGACAUUCUCAUUCAACACUCGAAGAGAGACUUUGAAUUUGAAAAUGAACUGUGGAAAAGUCAUCUUUAAAAACCAUAUAAA